UACGUAGGGGGCAAGCGUUGUCCGGAAUCAUUGGGCGUAAAGAGCGUGUAGGUGGCUCGGUAAGUCCGCUGUGAAAGUCCAGGGCUCAACCCUGAAAUGCCGGUGGAAACUGUCGAGCUAGAGUCCGGAAGAGGCGAGUGGAAUUCCUGGUGUAGCGGUGAAAUGCGCAGAUAUCAGGAGGAACACCAAUGGCGAAGGCAGCUCGCUGGGACGGUACUGACACUGAGACGCGAAAGCGUGGGGAGCGAACAGG
rnacentral:rRNA from 1 species